GACGAACGCUGGCGGCGUGCCUAAUACAUGCAAGUUGAGCGAUGAAGCUUGGUGCUUGCACCAAUUUGAAGAGCAGCGAACGGGUGAGUAACGCGUGGGGAAUCUGCCUUUGAGCGGGGGACAACAUUUGGAAACGAAUGCUAAUACCGCAUAACAACUUUAAACAUAAGUUUUAAGUUUGAAAGAUGCAAUUGCAUCACUCAAAGAUGAUCCCGCGUUGUAUUAGCUAGUUGGUGAGGUAAAGGCUCACCAGGGCGAUGAUACAUAGCCGACCUGAGAGGGUGAUCGGCCACAUUGGGACUGAGACACGGCCCAAACGCCUACGGGAGGCAGCAGUAGGGAAUCUUCGGCAAUGGACGAAAGUCUGACCGAGCAACGCCGCGUGAGUGAAGAAGGUUUUCGGAUCGUAAAACUCUGUUGGUAGAGAAGAACGUUGGUGAGAGUGGAAAGCUCAUCAAGUGACGGUAACUACCCAGAAAGGGACGGCUAACUACGUG
rnacentral:rRNA from 1 species